rnacentral:rRNA from 1 species
CCUGGCUCACGAUGUAGCGCUAGCUACAGGCUUAACACAUGCAAGUCGAGGGGCAGCAUGGUCUUAGCUUGCUAAGGCCGAUGGCGACCGGCGCACGGGUGAGUAACACGUAUCCAACCUGCCGUCUACUCUUGGACAGCCUUCUGAAAGGAAGAUUAAUACAAGAUGGCAUCAUGAGUCCGCAUGUUCACAUGAUUAAAGGUAUUCCGGUAGACGAUGGGGAUGCGUUCCAUUAGAUAGUAGGCGGGGUAACGGCCCACCUAGUCUUCGAUGGAUAGGGGUUCUGAGAGGAAGGUCCCCCACAUUGGAACUGAGACACGGUCCAAACUCCUACGGGAGGCAGCAGUGAGGAAUAUUGGUCAAUGGGCGAGAGCCUGAACCAGCCAAGUAGCGUGAAGGAUGACUGCCCUAUGGGUUGUAAACUUCUUUUAUAAAGGAAUAAAGUCGGGUAUGGAUACCCGUUUGCAUGUACUUUAUGAAUAAGGAUCGGCUAACUCCGUGCCAGCAGCCGCGGUAAUACGGAGGAUCCGAGCGUUAUCCGGAUUUAUUGGGUUUAAAGGGAGCGUAGAUGGAUGUUUAAGUCAGUUGUGAAAGUUUGCGGCUCAACCGUAAAAUUGCAGUUGAUACUGGAUAUCUUGAGUGCAGUUGAGGCAGGCGGAAUUCGUGGUGUAGCGGUGAAAUGCUUAGAUAUCACGAAGAACUCCGAUUGCGAAGCAGCCUGCUAAGCUGCAACUGACAUUGAGGCUCGAAAGUGUGGGUAUCAAACAGGAUUAGAUACCCUGGUAGUCCACACGGUAAACGAUGAAUACUCGCUGUUUGCGAUAUACAGCAAGCGGCCAAGCGAAAGCGUUAAGUAUUCCACCUGGGGAGUACGCCGGCAACGGUGAAACUCAAAGGAAUUGACGGGGGCCCGCACAAGCGGAGGAACAUGUGGUUUAAUUCGAUGAUACGCGAGGAACCUUACCCGGGCUUAAAUUGCAGAUGAAUUACGGUGAAAGCCGUAAGCCGCAAGGCAUCUGUGAAGGUGCUGCAUGGUUGUCGUCAGCUCGUGCCGUGAGGUGUCGGCUUAAGUGCCAUAACGAGCGCAACCCUUGUUGUCAGUUACUAACAGGUUCCGCUGAGGACUCUGACAAGACUGCCAUCGUAAGAUGUGAGGAAGGUGGGGAUGACGUCAAAUCAGCACGGCCCUUACGUCCGGGGCUACACACGUGUUACAAUGGGGGGUACAGAGGGCCGCUACCACGCGAGUGGAUGCCAAUCCCAAAAACCUCUCUCAGUUCGGACUGGAGUCUGCAACCCGACUCCACGAAGCUGGAUUCGCUAGUAAUCGCGCAUCAGCCACGGCGCGGUGAAUACGUUCCCGGGCCUUGUACACACAGCCC